UCAUCUCCAGUUCCGUUGGGUCACGGGCAUUCACAAUUUUCUUCAACUGGGUCACCAGAAAAAAAGUUUGAAAACCACUGCUUUAUGGACCACAUGUUUGACACAACUG